UUGGCCCUAAAUCAAGGCCGAUAGCUUCCUGACGCAGUUGGUUUCAAGCAGGAGCCUAAAGAGAUGUCUUUCUAUGGUAACUGUUGGCCAUUCAGAACUUGGGCAGUGAAAUGUUCAAUUCAUUAGAAAGAAACAGCU
ensembl:snoRNA small nucleolar RNA SNORA2/SNORA34 family